GGUUCUUUUGUGCAGAAUAAGAAAGAAAGGGUCAAUCUUUAAAAAUUUCAUUGUAAAUUGAAAUACUCAUACAAAUACAAAUGUGGGAGAGAUCAAGAAGAUGCAGCAGGAUCGUUUAUCUGAUUGGUUAGUCAACCAUGAUUUAGUUCAUAGAUCUUUGGGCUUUGAUUGCCGAGGAAUAGAAACUUUACAAAUAAAAACCGAGGAUUGGGAUUCCAUUGCUGUCAUUUCAUAUGUAUAUGGUUACAAUUAUUUACGCUCCCAGUGUGCCUAUGAUGUAGCACCAGGCGGAUUUUUAGCCAGUGUGUAUCAUCUUACGAGAAUACAGUAUGGUAUAGCUAAACCAGAAGAGGUAUGCAUAAAAGUAUUUGCCCCAAGGAAUAAUCCUAGAAUCCCGUCUGUUUUCUGGAUUUGGAGAAGUGCUGAUUUUCAAGAACGCGAAUCUUAUGAUAUGUUGGGAAUCUCUUAUGAUAAUCAUCCACGCCUUAAACGUAUUUUGAUGCCGGAAAGUUGGAUAGGUUGGCCCCUACGUAAGGACUAUAUUACCCCCAAUUUCUAUGAAAUACAAGAUGCUCAUUAAAUGAUAAGAAAUUAAUGUUUACUUAAUACGACUAUGACACGAUUCCAGAUUUCUUUCAAGUGAAGGAAUAUUUUUACGUUCCGUUCUAGAUGAAAGAAAGUAACCGGACUUUAAUUCGUAUUAUGGAUAACCUAAAAAAAACUUCAUUUAUAUUCCAAAAUUUGGAAUAGAUCAUAUCCAUUUCGUAUGAGCAGAAACAAUGGGAUGAAUCAAAAGAGUUCUGCACUAUGAACUUUGUACCGCGCACAUAACUUACUUAGAUGUAGAUGGACCUCGGAAAGUAACGUAAGCAAGAGUGAAGAAAUGGAAUAAAUGUCAAAAAUAUGAAAUGAAGAAAUGAAAAGGGAUUGGAUUUUAUUUGUACUGUGUCUGAAGUGCAUUCUGUCUAUUGCUAUCUUUUAACUCCUCUCGACUUUUAAGUUUUUUUUUACUUUUACUUAUUUAUUUUUAUUUUGAAUAUAGAUGAAGACUUAAUAUUCUUUUUGAAUGAGAGAAAGCACAGUAUGAAGAAACAAGAAAGAAAAAAGAGACGGGAGCAUAAUCUCACUUUGUUCUUUACCAUAACCAUCCAUACAUAUAUUUUUUACCAAUCCCCCCAAGGGGAGGUAUAUAUAUAUAUAUAUAUCUAGAUGAGUAAAUAUGUAAUAGAUGAGUAAAUAUAUGUAAUAGAUGAGUAAAUAUGUAACAUCUAGAUGAGUAAAUACGUAUCAUGCUCUAGACUAUUAACGCCCGAUCUAUCUCGAUUAAUUUGUAUGAAUAUCUAUCCGAUACAUUAUUUACGUGUCAGGAACCAGAUUUGAACUGGUGACACGAGGAUUUUCAGUCCUCUGCUCUACCAACUGAGCUAUCCCGACCAUUUCCCGUGCAUCAUCCUAGUAGAGUACUUGUGUCUAUGUUAAUUAAAGGGACUAAAAAGUAGUAAAAAAUUUGACAAGUAAGUGUAAGGAUAAUGAUAUGGACUGUGAAUGAUUCAAUAAUAGAGAUUCUUUGCCCAUAUAUGUUCAUUUGUACAGGUUCUAUCCAAAUUGGGAUAAGAUCCAAGGAUUUUAGUUCGGAUCCGUUUGUGAAAGAGUAGAGUGAAUGAGAAAGAUAGUGAAUUUUGUUUGAACUGAACCACUGAUGAAAAAAAAGAAGAGGAUAAAUACUUAGGAAGUAAAAUAGGCUUUUUAUUGGGGAUAGAGGGACUUGAACCCUCACGAUUUAAAAAGUCGACGGAUUUUCCUCUUACUAUAAAUUUCAUUGUUGUCGGUAUUGACAUGUAGAAUGGGACUCUCUCUUUAUUCUCGUCCGAUUAAUCAGUUUUUCAAAAGAUCUAUCAAACUCUGGAAUGAAUGAUUUCAUAAUUGAAUAUUCGAUUCUUCCUUCAACUUCCAUUGAAAUGGAUUCAUAAUAACUCUGAAUUUUUCAUAUUAUAAUUAUAUAUAAUUAUAAUAUAAUAGAUUCGGGUCAUGAUUAAUCGUUUGAUAUGGCAGUAUGUAUACAUACGUAUUAGGUAUAUAGGACCAUCUUUUCUGUAAUUUUUAUAGACGGAUUCCUGCUACCAACAAAACGUAGUCAACUCCAUUCGUUAGAACAGCUUCCAUUGAGUCUCUGCACCUAUCCUUUUAAAUUCUAGUUUUAUAAACCUUUGUUUUCUCAAAAUAAGGAUUUGGCUCAGGAUUGCCCAUUUUUAAUUCCAGGGUUUCUCUGAAUUUGGAAGUUACCACUUAGCAGGUUUCCAUACUAAGGCUCAAUCCAAUCAAGUCCGUAGCGUCUACCGAUUUCGCCAUAUCCCCUUUGAUACCAAGACCUAGUUGGAAUUCCAACUAUCCUUUUCAUUUAUUUUGUUUGUUUGGACCCGUUGAAUUCGUUAGAUAAUGAUUUCUAUAUUGAAAAAGUGUAUGCUGCUGUUUGAUUUUUUUGGCUAUCCCCCAUCAGUUCAUUUAUAUUGAAUGAACCUUGUUUCAAUCAGAAA